UACGUAGGGUGCGAGCGUUGUCCGGAAUUACUGGGCGUAAAGAGCUCGUAGGUGGUUUGUCGCGUUGUCCGUGAAAACUCACAACUCAAUUGUGGGCGUGCGGGCGAUACGGGCAGACUGGAGUACUGCAGGGGAGACUGGAAUUCCUGGUGUAGCGGUGGAAUGCGCAGAUAUCAGGAGGAACACCGGUGGCGAAGGCGGGUCUCUGGGCCGAUACUGACGCUGAGGAGCGAAAGCGUGGGGAGCGAGCAGG
rnacentral:rRNA from 1 species